CCCAGGGCACACGCAUUGGCUCCCCGGGGUGUAACUUGAGACUCAGACUUUCAGAGCUGUCCCCUGUCGCUGUUUAAAUAAGGACAGGAAAAGAAGAGGGGACCUGCCUCCUGCUUCUGGGACCAUCUGCUACCGGCCCCAGCCCAGAUGAUACAGUUAGAAUCUACCCACAGCAUCCUCUCCCGCCUUCAGACAGUUCCAGGAACAAGGUUCAUUACAGAGUAUUGAGAAGGGUUCCUGAUGCGAGAAGGGGGCCACAGAGGAUGAG